rnacentral:sRNA from 1 species
AAAUUUCUGAAUGUUUAGUCGGAAUCUCCUUUGUUGCACCUUGAAGCCAUUGGUUCGAGUCCUACCCUCCUGAGCAGGAGAAAACAAGCAUGUUCCCUGUUCCAUGUGACAGCCCUUCAGAUAUUGGAAGAUGGCUAUCAUAUCUCCUCUCAGUCUCCUCUUUUCCAGACUAAACAUACCCAGCUCCUUCAAACG